ensembl:snoRNA SNORA72 Small nucleolar RNA SNORA72
GUGCAAAUAUUCUCACUGUUUUGAUUUUAUAAUAGUCAGGACAGGCUAACCAUUCGCUUUAUUAAGACCAUGCAGCCGGGCGCGGUGGCUCAA